CGAAAACGAAAAGCUCGGUUUUACGUGAAAUCUGUAAAAUAAUUUUUCCUAUAAAAUUUUUUUACGUCGAAUCAAACGCUAGAAAAAUAAUUUUUCACUGAAAAUAAUUUUUCACUGAAAAAAUUUUUCUGACCAUUUUUACAGGGAACCAAACGCCCUCUAAGUGGAGUGGUGGUGGUUGUGGAUGUUGAGUUGUUGAAAGUACUAUCAGAUUUGCAAAAGAAGGGAGCUAAGUAUGGUUAAAUUAUUUUAUAAAUAUAUUAUUAUUUAGCGAUAUAUGUUUAAAAAUUAUAAAUAAUUUUCGGAGAGCGAUCAUGGCGCGACGGAUUUGGGGCGAAUCAAAAAUUUUUUUCAUUUCUUGCUCUGAAUCCGUCUCGAAUCAUAUUAAAAUUACAUCAUUUCUUACUCCGAAUUCAUUCAUUUCCUCUCGUUUACUAACCCAUUCGGGACGGAUUGGAACAAAAACUCCACCAAUCCAGAUCCAUUUGCAUCCCUAAUGUAAACCCACAACUUUGUUAUAGAUGUGAAAUAACCGUUGUACUCUAAAAACUUAGCUGUUAGAAAAUGGUGUUUUAAAUAUUUUUAUAUUUAACACUUUUCCUCAUGUUUGGACUCAAGACUUUUUUUAAUCGGCCCAUAACGUGGGCUGGAAUUAAAUGAAAAGCUUAAGCUGUUAGAAAACGAUGUUUUAAACAUUUUUAUAUUUAACACUCUCCCUCACGUUUGGACUCAAGACUUUUUUUAGUCGGCCCAUGACGUGGGCUGGAAUUAAAUGGGAAAAAAUUAAUAUGUUAGGAGCCUGACGCGUGACUCGAACUCAGCAUGUGAAACAACCGUUGUACUUUAAAAGCUUAAGCUUUUAGAAAACGGUAUUUUAAAUAUUUUUAAAUUUAACAAUAGACAACAAAAGGUGCAGAAAUAAGGCGCAGAUUAGGAAUGCAAAUUGAGCUGGAUUGGUAGAGCUUCCAUCAUGACAGUAACUGAAAAUAAAAAGAUCUAAAAAAAUAUAACUCGUUUUGAGUAUGUUUCGAUUCGCCAAGUAAAUAAAAUGAAAGGCAGAAGAUUUUUUUUUUUUAUCGAUCCGUCCUGAAGGGACUGUUAAGUUGAGGGUUAAUCCGUCCCAUAUCUG
rnacentral:lncRNA from 1 species